UACGUAGGGUGCGAGCGUUAACCGGAAUUACUGGGCGUAAAGCGUGCGCAGGCGGUUCGUUGUGUCGGUGGUGAAAUCCCCGGGCUUAACCUGGGAAUGGCCAUGGAAACUGGCGAACUGGAGUGCGGCAGAGGGGGGUGGAAUUCCGCGUGUAGCAGUGAAAUUCGUAGAUAUUCGGAAGAACACCAGUGGCGAAGGCGACUUACUGGACACAUAUUGACGCUGAGGUGCGAAAGCGUGGGGAGCAAACAGG
rnacentral:rRNA from 1 species